rnacentral:lncRNA from 1 species
AAUAAGAGUAGGAAAAUUCCGGUGAGAUGAUAGAAAAUCGCCGGAAAAUAUGAUCGGUGACACUGGUCCAUGGUCAUGUAGAGUCGUAGUUGGUGUUAUGACAGUAAGAGUGGAGUGAAGACUGAAGGGUGUAUUUAUUUGCAUGAAAGGAGUGAAUAAAUACUUACUUUAGUAUUAUUUUUUUCGUUUUGCGUUUGAUAUUUAUAUUAAAAUUCAAAUAACUCAAAAAUCAUUUUAAAAGGAAAUGAUACUCAAUAAACACAAUUCAUAGUCAA